rnacentral:rRNA from 1 species
AGUGAACGCUGGCGGCAUGCCUAACACGUGCAAGUCGAACGGCAGCACGGGAAGUUGCACCUGGUGGCGAUGGCGGGUGGCGGGCGGGUUACAUAUGCAUAUGUACCUUCUUGGGCGAGGGGGCGGCCGUAGGCAGAUUAAUGCUGCAACCGAAUACCAGCUGCAGGCGGGAGCACUUGGGGCCUCGAGCUUUAGCGUUGGUCGAUGGCGGAUUCGCUAGUUGGUGGGGUAAAGGCCUACCAAGGCGACGAUCAGUAGCUGGUCUGAGAGGAAGACCAGCCACACUGGAACUGAGACACGGUCCAGACUCCUACGGGAGGCAGCAGUGGGGAAUUUUGGACAAAGGGCGAAAGCCUGAUCCAGCAAUGCCGCGUGUGUGAAGAAGGCCUUCGGGUUGUAAAGCACUUUUGUUCGGAAAGAAAACCUGGGGCCUAAUACGGUCAUGUGAUGACGGUACCGAAAGAAUAAGCACCGGCUAACUACGUG